UACGAAGGGUGCAAACGUUGCUCGGAAUUAUUGGGCGUAAAGCGCACGUAGGCGGCUUAGCAAGUCGGAAGUGAAAGCCCUUGGCUCAACCAAGGAAGUGCUUUCGAAGCUGCUGAGCUUGAGUAGUUAAGAGGAUCGCGGAAUUCCCGGUGUAGAGGUGAAAUUCGUAGAUAUCGGGAGGAACACCAGUGGCGAAGGCGGCGAUCUGGGAACAUACUGACGCUGAGGUGCGAAAGCGUGGGGAGCAAACAGG
rnacentral:rRNA from 1 species